rnacentral:rRNA from 1 species
UACGUAGGGUGCAAGCGUUGUCCGGAAUUAUUGGGCGUAAAGAGCUCGUAGGCGGUUCGUCGCGUCGGCUGUGAAAACCCGGAGCUCAACUCCGGGCCUGCAGUCGAUACGGGCGGACUUGAGUGUUGCAGGGGAGACUGGAAUUCCUGGUGUAGCGGUGAAAUGCGCAGAUAUCAGGAGGAACACCGGCGGCGAAGGCGGUUCUCUGGGCCUUACCUGACGCUGAGGAGCGAAAGCAUGGGGAGCAAACAGG